UUAGGCCUUGACAUACUAAGAACUUUCCAGAGAUGGAUUGGUGCCUUCGGGAACUUAGAUACAGGUGCUGCAUGGCUGUCGUCAGCUCGUGUCGUGAGAUGUUGGGUUAAGUCCGCAACGAGCGCAACCCUUUUCCUUAUUUGCCAGCGGGUAAUGCCGGGAACUUUAAGGAUACUGCCAGUGACAAACUGGAGGAAGGCGGGGACGACGUCAAGUCAUCAUGGCCCUUACGGCCAGGGCUACACACGUGCUACAAUGGUCGGUACAAAGGGUUGCUACCUCGCGAGAGGAUGCUAAUCUCAAAAAGCCGAUCGUAGUCCGGAUCGCAGUCUGCAACUCGACUGCGUGAAGUCGGAAUCGCUAGUAAUCGCGGAUCAGAAUGCCGCGGUGAAUACGUUCCCGGGCCUUGUACACACCGCCCGUCACACCAUGGGAGUUUGUUGCACCAGAAGUAGGUAGUCUAACCGCAAGGAGGACGCUUACCACGGUGUGGCCGAUGACUGGGGUGAAGUCGUAACAAGGUAGGCGUAGAUGA
rnacentral:rRNA from 1 species